rnacentral:rRNA from 1 species
GUGGGGAAUAUUGGACAAUGGGCGAAAGCCUGAUCCAGCCAUGCCGCGUGUGUGAAGAAGGUCUUCGGAUUGUAAAGCACUUUAAGUUGGGAGGAAGGGCAGUAAGCUAAUACCUUGCUGUUUUGACGUUACCGACAGAAUAAGCACCGGCUAACUUCGUGCCAGCAGCCGCGGUAAUACGAAGGGUGCAAGCGUUAAUCGGAAUUACUGGGCGUAAAGCGCGCGUAGGUGGUUCAGCAAGUUGGAGGUGAAAUCCCCGGGCUCAACCUGGGAACUGCCUCCAAAACUACUGAGCUAGAGUACGGUAGAGGGUAGUGGAAUUUCCUGUGUAGCGGUGAAAUGCGUAGAUAUAGGAAGGAACACCAGUGGCGAAGGCGGCUCACUGGUCCGGUACUGACGCUGAGGUGCGAAAGCGUGGGGAGCAAACAGGAUUAGAAACCCUUGUAGUCC